rnacentral:lncRNA from 1 species
CUUUUCCAAGGAUUUAUUUAAUGGGGAUGUGUUCAAGGCAAGACCGAAUUCAGAAGGAUAUCGACGUCGUGAUCCAGAAGUCCAGAGCUGAGGACUGCCUGUUUGCAGAUUUCAGGUACUCAGACUCCACCUUUACUUUUACCUAUGUUGGCGGCCCCAGAAGCUUUAAAUCAUCUAGGAACUUCAUAUAAAAUUUAAUUCCAGUUUCAACUAGUUGUGGAGCAUUUGAUCCAAAAUAAAAUGAAAGUCCUCUCUGAAGCUGUAGAGGAGACUCAAG